rnacentral:rRNA from 1 species
UACGUAGGUGGCAAGCGUUGUCCGGAUUUACUGGGCGUAAAGAGCGCGCAGGCGGUCGUUCAAGUCGCGUGUGAAAGCCCCCGGCUCAACUGGGGAGGGUCACGCGAUACUGAUCGACUCGAAGGCAGGAGAGGGUAGUGGAAUUCCCGGUGUAGUGGUGAAAUGCGUAGAUAUCUGGAGGAACACCGGUGGCGAAGGCGGCGUCCUGGACCAACACUGACACUGAGGAGCGAAAGCGUGGGGAGCAAACAGG